UCCCUGGUGGCCUAGCAGGUUAAGGACCCAGCUUUGUCACUGCUGUGGCUUGGGUUUGAUUCCUGGCCUGGGAA
rfam:Sus scrofa chromosome X.